CCGUUCCCAUUCCGAACACGGAAGUUAAGCCCGCCAGCGCCGAUGGUACUUGGGGUGUAGACCCCCGGGAGAGUAGGUCGCCGCCGGGU
rnacentral:rRNA from 1 species